UAAUAAUGAUAUUGAUGAUGAUUAUGACGAUGAUAAUGGGGAUGAGGAUGAUGAUGAUCAUCAUCAUCAUGAUCGUCAUCAUCAUCAUCAUCAUCA
rnacentral:pre_miRNA from 1 species